AUACGGAGGGUGCGAGCGUUAAUCGGAAUUACUGGGCGUAAAGCGUACGUAGGCGGUUGGUUAAGUUAGAUGUGAAAGCCCCGGGCUUAACCUGGGAACUGCAUUUAAAACUGGCGAACUAGAGUUGAGUAGAGGGGAGUGGAAUUUCAGGUGUAGCGGUGAAAUGCGUAGAGAUCUGAAGGAACACCAGUGGCGAAGGCGACUCCCUGGACACGAACUGACGCUGAGGUACGAAAGCGUGGGUAGCAAACGGGAUUAGAAACCCUUGUAGUCC
rnacentral:rRNA from 1 species